GAAAGAAAAAAUCAAAUACGCAAGAAAAGUUAGAAUCUGUAGGAGAGAGAGCAAACAUGCCUGAGCAAGUAAGAGGUAUGAUGAUCUUCACUUCACCUCCUCCUUUGUUCCCCAUAGCCUAAAGAGGAAAGCCUCAGCCUCCUAUUAACCGGCCCAUCACAUAAAGAUUCCGAGCCCAGCUUGAUUUCUUAUUAACCGGCCCAUCAUCCGAAGCUUCCGAGCCCAAGCCCAGCUUGAUUUCCUUAGGUAUAAAAUUUCUUUAAUUAGUCUUUUUUUUUCCCUCCUGAUUUUUUUUUUUCAAAUGUUUUUGUUUUAGUCAAAUCCAAAAAUUAUCACUCUCUUUUAAAUGUUUUUGUUUUGGGGAGAUUGUAUAUUUACUUGAUGGACAAUGGAAGAAGCUUAUGUGUAUAUUCAUAGUGUGAAAACAGUUAGAAACUAGCGUCCUGUCCUUUGAUCGUUAGAGAGGUUAAGGUUCCAUUUGACUUUACACUUAUGAGAUCACUUUGUUAUUCCUAAUCAAAUCUUGGCACAAUAUACAGUUUCCCCUCGUGUUUUUUUUGGUUAAAAACAGUAUCAUCUUUUGUAUUUGCAUGUUUAAAAAAAAAAAAAAAUCUUCAACGUAAAUGCUUGCUUGUUUGCAAUCAUGGUGUGCAUGUUUGAUUGUUUGUUUCUUUGCUGGCGAGAUUGGAGAUGGUCAGGAGGAUUUUGAGAAGUGAAAGGUGAUUGAAGUAGGAUGUCAAUGAAGAUGGUUCGUAACUCCAUUGAUGUCACUUAAAAGGAAGUGAAAGAACAUACAUUAGAGGCAAGGAGUCAGCAAAUGGAGGCCAGAACUUGAAGAAGAGUAUGAAGAUCGUGAAGAAGUCUUACUCUCUAAUAAUCUCCAACGUCAAGUUCUUAUCUGAUUCAUUACAUUUAGGAUUGUACUCCUUGAUGACAACUUCUGUAUCAAUUUAACUCUAAAUCAAGUUGACCUUUCUACUUUGUAAAAUCAAAUUAUUUGUCGUCUUUUUUUUUUUGUAAGUAUAUAUCUCUAAAUGUUGUGUGUAUUUUUAAAUCAAGUACUUUGUAAUUUUACAGUUUAAAUUAGUUGAAA